rnacentral:rRNA from 1 species
UACGUAGGUGGCAAGCGUUGUCCGGAUUUAUUGGGUUUAAAGGGUGCGUAGGCGGUUCACUAAGUUGGAUGUGAAAACUAUGGGCUCAACUCAUAGCUUGCAUCCAAUACUGAUGGACUAGAGUUCUGGAGGGGGUAGCGGAAUUCCUGGUGUAGCGGUGAAAUGCGCAGAUAUCAGGAGGAACACCGGUGGCGAAGGCGGGUCUCUGGGCAACAACGUGACGCUGAGGAGCGAAAGCGCGGGGAGCAAACGGG